GCGCCCGCUCGGGCAGCGCGGCCGGCAGGGCGAGGCGCUGCGGCGGGUUUGCCGCUGCUACCCUCGCACGGAGGGUCCCGCUGAGAGGCCCGGGGGGACGGCUCAGGCCGCGGCAGGAGGCCGCGGCGGGGCGCAGCGCUCCAGCGGCCGAGCGGGCGGCGCAGCGGUGCUGAUGUUCAUGGAGGCUAACAUAUGGGGCACAGAGCGACACAUCAAGGAACUGGGAGAGAGAUUCAGUGCUGUGCUGAGAUGCAGAAAUGUCUUUACCAGUGAAGACAGUACAAUUUGGGAUAAGGACCUAGCACAUGGAAGAACUAGCACAUGAAGUAUGUUUGCCUAGGAAGCUGUUCAACAGCUUAAGGUACACAUAAAGGCAAAGAUAGACUCCUCUUCUAUAACCACCACUGAGAAGACUUUCAUAACAAUUUAAUAUUGUAUGGCUUUCUUCUCAAUUUUUUAUUUAUUUACUUAUCUCAUCUUUGGAUCUUUUGGAAUUUGUUGCAUAAUAUUACUAAAACACUUUAAAUGUGAUACUUCCUAUAUAAUUAAUAAAUAUUUUAGAUUAUGUUUACUGAGUUUUAUGAGAAAAAGACCAGACAUAAUUUGAAUUCCUAACUGUAGUGCUGCACGUGUGUGCACACACACACCCUUUCUGUGCAGAGGAGAAAUUUUGUUCCUGCUGCUGUAUCUACUUUAACAAGCUUCACAAUGAACAUGAUUUUGAAAUGUUACUAACUUGCAAUGGAAACUAAAAUAAGCACAUGCAUGAUAAUCAUCAACAUAAUCAUUCAUCAAGAGCAGUUCUAAAAAUGAAAAUAGCUGUGAAACAUUGCCUAGACUUAGAAUUUUUCUGUUUAAC